rnacentral:rRNA from 1 species
UAGCCCUCGGCAUAUUGCUCAGUAACACGCGGAUAACCUGCCCUUGGGUUUGGGAUAACCCCGGGAAACUGGGACUAAUACCGGAUAGAUCAAAGAUACUGGAAUGUUCUUUGUUCGAAAGCUCCGGCGCCCAAGGAUGGGUCUGCGGCCUAUCAGGUAGUAGUGGGUGUAACGUACCUACUAGCCUACGACGGGUAAGGGUUGUGAGAGCAAGAGCCCUGAGAUGGAUUCUGAGACAUGAAUCCAG